rnacentral:rRNA from 1 species
UACGGAGGAUGCAAGUGUUAUCCGGAAUCACUGGGCGUAAAGCGUCUGCAGGUGGUUUCCUAAGUCCACUGUUAAACCUUGAGGCUCAACCUCAAAUCUGCAUUGGAAACUAGGAGACUUGAGUAUAGUAGGGGUAGAGGGAAUUUCCAGUGGAGCGGUGAAAUGCGUAGAUAUUGGAAAGAACACCGAUGGCGAAGGCACUCUACUGGGCUAUUACUGACACUCAGAGACGAAAGCUAGGGGAGCAAAUGGG